UCAGGGCUUAAACUUGUAACCUUUUAUUAUCAAUAAAGGAGUUUUUCAUUUCAAUCAUAUUUGUGUCCAUGAUUUGUUCUAAAAAUUAACAAAGAUAAUUUUUUAUAUAUUCUUAAAAUAUUAAAAAUUUGAAAUAUAUAUUAAUUAAUGAUUAAUUUCUAAAUACUUUCGAUCAAAAGAUCGUCAUGGAGGAUAGUGAUCAAUCCAUUCGAGAUCGAUGCACAGUUCACCUCCCUUAUGGGCAGAUGAGUCUCGAAUCUGCAGUAUAGGGACACUGGGAUGAGAGUGCAAGUGAUUGUUAGAGAAUA
rnacentral:lncRNA from 1 species